GCUCAGGUGCCAAUCUUUAAACAAAAAAUCUUUCUUAAUUUAAAAAAUUUUUAAAAACUGAAAACAGUGAACUCAGAUAUAUUCUUUCCACAGGAAACUAUAUAGUAACUAAAAUGAUAUACAUGUAUCCACAUGAAUAAAUGUCAGAAAUAUGAUGGUGCAUGCAAAAAAGAACCUUGUCGGAGACAUACAUAUUGAUAUAAUUUGUGCAAAUCUUAAACCACAAAAAUGAUACUUUAUAUUAAGCAUGCAAACAUACAUAGAAAAAUAUAAUAACAGAUAAGGGAGAGAUAUUCUCAACUUCAGGAAAGUGGUUAUCUCCUGGAGAGGGGAAAGGGAUGGGGUGGUUGUCAAAAGUCAGCAACAUUGUGUUUAUUAACACAAUUAAACAAAAGGUAUCUGAAGUAAAUAUAGAAACGCUAACUUUUGUAAUAUGUGGGCCUUAGGUUCAUGGAUUUUUGUACCAUUAUUUUCUAUGUUUUUUAUAUAUUUGGCGUAUAUCAUAAUAAAUAAAAACAAAUAUUCUUAAAAGAUGCCAAGAAACCUGAAUUUGGGUCUGGAUUCAGCUUCCAAGUUUGCUGUUUGAUAGGGAGAUAUACACCACAAUGUAAAGGCUGCUUAUGUCUGGGUCAUGGGAUUUUAGAUUAUCUUUAUUUCCUUAAUUUUUAUUGCAUUUUUUUAGCAUUGUGUUUUUUUGUUUUGGGGGGCUUUUUUUCGGUCUAUAGACCGUUUAUGGGGAUCGGAGAGGAGUUACUCUUCUACUCUGGCUGCACCUUCCAAGGAGCACCCCGUGUAGGCCUUGGAGGACCUGUGUGGAGGUGGCCCUAGGCGGUGGGUCCCCCACAGAAGCUGUUCUCAAACCAACACACUGGCUCCAGCUCACACUUUUGCUCCUGGCCUCUGUCCCUCCGCCCAGAAGCCUCUGAGCAGGAUGAGAGGCGCCUGCCUGCCUGGGAGCAGGCUUGCUGGGAGAGGGGCACAUUGGAGGAAGGAAACCUCAGACCUUUCAUCCUCAGGCUGGAGCAGGCUGAGCAGAAGGCUGGCCCGGGGCUCUGGGUUCCUCCCAGUCCUCUCCCCGUGGAGAGGGGCAGGCUGGGCUGGCGUGGGGGCAGACAGCUGGGCCCAGAGAUCCUGUGGUUGGGCAGGCCAGCCUGUUAGGCAGGAGGUUGAAGCGGAGCCUUGAGGGGGAGCAGGCCCCCUCCAGUGAGGGUGAUGCCCGGAGUCAGGAGAGGGUGUGCAGAAACAGACAGUGACCAGGGAGACACCCAAAUCUCUUUUACUGGGGAGGAUGGGGCCCUGGGGGAUGGGUCCAGGGGCCCUCCCCCUGCACGGCUCUAUGCUGUAUGCAUAUCUCAUCAUCAUAUCUUAAAGGGGGUCCUCCGUCAGGUAAGCCAUUGUUGCUGAGAGUUAUUUAAUAAAGGAGCGUGGUGGGGGGUCCACUUUACAGUCAGGGAGAGCCUGUCUGCUGCUUGGUGUCCCUGCCUUCCUACCCACCAUAAGUCCGAGCCUGCUGACGCACGGCUGCAUUUAAUGUCCAAUUGUCCAAGCUACGUGCAGAAGUGAUGUGAAAUAGCAAAGAUCAGACACACAUUCAAUGAACAAAAUGGUGAUUUCCGAUUGUUUUUUUCUUGUGAUGCACAUGGUGGCUUUAAAGUUGAGUGAUUUAUCUAAGGCCAAAGAACAAAGUUUUUUGAAAAUAUCUUAAUUUAUUUCUGAUAAUUAAAAAAUACAGGCGGGGGAAGGGGCGGGUUAGGGGCCGGGCUCUGCGCUCACACCGGCCAGCCGCCCCCAGGAUGUGAUCCUCAUGAUCCGAUGCCGCCACGACCACCAUCUUCGUGGACACCAGGGAGUCAGCACCGUGUUCUUGCUAAAGUGCAUCAUCGAGGGCAAUGAAAGAAAGGACAUCCAAGUGUACACACCACUGCAUGUGCGUGCUGAUUUUACAGUGCCACUUUCCAUCAUUUGACGUGUUCCUCACCCUCAUGACACAGGACUCUGGAUUUCUUUAUAAUAAUCAGGCUGGGGUCUCUAUCAAGGGGCUCCACCCACUUCCACCCGCCAGUGAAUGACAACAGGUUGUCUGAACCAUCACUACCAACUGUCACAGACUGCAGUGAUUGCAAGUGAGAUUUGUAAACUGAGAACACAGAGGCAGCACGAAUACCCUCAGGCCUGACCUCACUCAGCUGAUUUCACCACAAACAAAUCAAGAGAUGCAACUCCAAGUAAGUAAAAAGGGAGAGUUACUUAUCAGCUUAUCUAAUUGGAGUGGAAAAGGGUGGAUCCAGGGACUCAAAGUACAUCAGCUGGACGAUUUCUUGAUUUGCCAUCUCAGCUUCUCUCUUGGUGUUGAUCUCAUUCUGUCUUUCUCCAAGAAACUCCCUCCAGCGGGCAGGACACAGAAAAGGGAAACUGACAGCAGGCAGUUCCAGACUUCCAUCCUUCCAGCUCAGUCAGGCUCCAAGAGGAGAGAAAGGGAGAUUCACUAACACCAUCAGCACCUUUAAUCUCAUGGAAGGAUUCUAAUGAAACCAACUAGAGUCUCCUCCUGUCCACCAUACGGACCAAUCAUUAAGGCCAGAGACUAGGCCAAGCUUGGGCCACACGCCCAUGUCUGCAGUGGGGCAUGAGGCAAAGUCCAGGGACUGGUGGCCUCAUCAGAACCAAUGACACAGGCAUGGAGGAGCAAUUCUCUAAAGGAAGAAAGCGUGCUAUCAUCUGAGGCAGAAGGAAGAAAGCCUGAGGAGAGAAAGGAAACAUAACCCCAGUCUAAUCGUGAGAAAGACAACGGCAAACCCAAAUUAAAGGACAUGCGACGAAACACCUAACCAGUACUCCUCAAAACUUCAAGGUCACGAAGAAGAAAGAAAGAAUAAGAAACUGUCAUAGGCCAGAGAAGACUAAGGAGAGUUAAUGAGCAAACACACUGGGGUCUCCUGGAUUAGACCCUGGGACAGAAAAAGCACAUUAGUGGAAGAACUAUUGAAAUCUCAACAAAGUCUGGAAUUUAGUUAAUAGUGGUUCACCAGUGUUGGUUUCUUAGUUUUGACAUGAGUUACAUAACCCAUGGUUAUGUAAGAUGUUAACAAUAGGAGAAACUGGGUGAGGAGUAUACGAGAACUUUGUGUACUCUGUGACUUUCUUGUAAAUCUAGAAUUAUUCCAAAAUAAAACAUUUAUGCAAAAAAACUAUUUCCCUUAAAGUCAGGUUGAGUAGCAGGAUGACCUCAGAAUGCUAAGCAACACUGUAAGAAAUAAGAAAUAGAAAUCGAACAUAUCAGGAUCAAAUGGGAAAAAUAAAACUGGUAUUAUUUGAUAGGAUUGUUUACACAGAAAAUCCAAAACAAUAGACAAACUAUUAGAACUAAUAAGGCUCCAGUUAACAGCUAUCAAUACACACACACACACACACACAUUUGUCUACAUACCAGCAACAAUUAGAAAAUGUAGAUAUUCUUAAAGAUACAUUACAGUAGCGGAAAAAAGCUAUAAUUUAUCUAGGAAUGAAUCAAAUAUAAGAUGAGCAAAGUCUUUAUAAAGAAACAAAAUUUUUUAUUGAAAGACAUAAAAGAGAAACGGAAUAAAUGAAAAGACACACCAUGUUCAUGGAAGGAAAAAUUCUAUAUCUUAAAGAUGUCACUUUUGCACAGAUUAAUAUAUAACUUUGUAAAAUUACAAUGAAAUUCCCAUCAGAGGUUUUCAUGGGAUAUUUUCAGGGUAGUUCACUUCCACCAAGAGAUGGGUCACAGGAAAAGCUCCACAGAGCAAUGACCAGUGGUGACAGCCUCGGCUCUUCUUUGACAUCAUCUCAAGGUGACGGGGUCUAGGCUUCAGUCCCCAUUGACCCCAAAAAGGUGAUGAGCACGGGAGUCUUAAGUCAGGCCUAUGACAGGGAUAUAUUUCAACAUCAGCUGAAUUCCAUGUUUUUGAAAGAGGAGCAAUGGAGAAACUUGUUUCCUGCUAUUUCUAUUGCUCAGGAACCAAAGCCUCUUCAACCCUCGGAUCUGGCCAGCUAGGACAUAAUAAAUGACCCCACCAGUGGAAAAAAUGCCUUCAUUUCAUUCCAUGAGUUUAUAAAUCACUAUGUUACUCAGUUAUCCCCUGACUUCAUCUCAUAUUUUUCUCCAUCACUCCACCAUAGGGGAUAGUGUCCUGCAGGAAAAAGUUACAUUCUGAAAUGUGCAUUUCAUCUUCUUCCAGUAUGGAAAAUCAGGCUCAGCGAAGAAGGAAGAGCAAACAGCCACUGCCAGCUUUCCGCUUGGAAACAAGCCACGGAAAGGCAUCCAGGAAGAAACUCAUUGGAAGAUGACUCUAUCAGGCCAGAUCAGGAGCUCACAUCCCGUCUGAAGGAAGCCCUGUGACACAGCUCAGGUCAAACGAAUCCCAAGACCCGCGCCAGUGUGUAUACAGUACCUCAUAGUUCGCAAAUCAUUUUGUCUCAUUUGAUCCACGUAACAACCCUGUGACUAUUGCCAUUUGAAAAAUGGGGACUAUGGCAUUUUACAGAUGGAGAAGCAAACCCAGACUUCAAAUUCAAGCAAACAAGCCAGAAUGGACAUUCAGAUUUUUUUUAAAAAAAUAACUGUCCUGUAUUCUUCUGUCUCCACACUCCGUACAUCAUGGCUUUCUGCAGCGUUAUCCCCCUGUCCCCACCUGCGUUGACCUCUUCAAGCCACCAUCGGGCUUGGUCGAGAUGCCCUGCAGCGGCUAUUUUAUUCAUCUGAAGGCACAUAGAGGCUUGUGGCUUAUCCACAGGCAAGACCGAGGAGGGGUGGCCUUUUGGUAACUUAAUAAUCAUGCCCCUACUAAUAACAAAGGCAACUUCUCCAAACAAAAAAUUUCAAAGGGCAGCCAGCGACACCUUCUCUGUGCGCCAGGGCGUUCCUCAGGGCUGCGCUGGGAGCCAGCACCUGGCCAGCCCACUGCUGACACCUCGUGGCCGAGAAACAGAGUUCCAGACCAGUUCCUAUCAGAAUCACGUGGAGAAAGGAAGCUGAAUGCUUAGAACCAGCCAGCUAUCCCUCUGUCCUUCCCGGGUUCCCCUGGCAACCCUUUCCUCUAAAUGGUGCCAGGGCUGCUUAGGAGCUGCUGUGACCCUCAGUGGGUGGCUGCAGGGCUUCCUCAGGGCCUCGGCGGCCCAGCUCCUGCCAAGCCACGGUGGUAGUCACAGGGCCCUCUAGGUGGCACCUCUGCCCAAGGCAGUAACCAGCAUGCAUGGCACUCGCCAAACAACUGACAGAUGAAACACAGAUUUGCUCAUAAAAAUAGGCAUGAACCAGACACCUGAACACUGGGUCUAGUUUGGGGCCCUGUGUCUGCCGCCGCGAACUGUGAGCAUCAGGAGGCGGGCGGAGGACACUCUGCUGGAAAUAGAGCUUGUGGCAAACGGCUCUUGUGACAGCCAUUGAGGCUAAUUACAAUUUAGAGGCAAAAAUCAUCGAGGGCCUUGUUCUGACAUCAGUGAGAAAACACUUCAAAUUCUAAGGAGACACUCCUAGUAAUAGGCCAGGGGUAACUUCUGAUAUCUAGAUUCAUACCCUUUUAGUCGAGGCAUCUAAAUAUGGAGAGUCUUGUCAUUGCUUUACGAGGCGGUGUGCAAUGAUUUUAGCUCAAGAUAUUUUUAAAUAUUCCUAACAGCAAUCAGCAGUAUGGCUGUUACUGGCUUAGUUCACAUAACGAGAAUUUGAGGCGGUUCUAUCUCAAACCACCGUGAUCUUCCAUUACUCUAAGUACUCUAAGGGUCCUGACGCAGGACGUUUCAUCUCUAGCCCUCUGGCUCCUCACCAAUAAAAUGAAAAGUUUGAACAAUCUGUA